CCUACGGGUGGCAGCAGUGGGGGAUAUUGCACAAUGGGGGAAACCCUGAUGCAGCGACGCCGCGUGAGUGAAGAAGUAUUUCGGUAUGUAAAGCUCUAUCAGCAGGGAAGCAAAUGACAGUACCUGACCAAGAAGCACCGGCUAACGACGGGCCAGCAGCCGCGGUAAUACGUAGGGGGCAGGCGUUAUCCGGAUUUAAUGGGUGUAAAGGGAGCGUAGACGGUGAUGUAAGUCUGGAGUGAAAGCCCGGGGCCCAACCCCGGGACUGCGUUGGAAACUGUGUGACUGGAGUACAGGAGGGGCAGGCGGAAUGCCUGGUGUAGCGGUGAAAUGCGUAGAUAUCAGGAGGAACACCGACGGCGAAGGCAGCCUGCUGGACUGAAACUGACGUUGAGGCUCGAAAGCGUGGGGAGCAAACAGGAUUAGAUACCCCUGUAGUC
rnacentral:rRNA from 1 species